UAUUCUUGAGACAAGAAAAAACAGAAUGGAGUCACAAUACUUGGCGGGCUGGAUCAACACCCCAGCUACACUUUUCAAUCCCGGCCUUUCCCUGAUUGGGACGGGUGUCUUUAAAUCUUAGCUCACUCAGUAGCUCUUGGGCUCUCCCGCUGGCUGCUGCGCAGUAAGCCCCCCUCCUUCCCGAAAGACCACCAUUUUUCCCAGCAGGCCUUGCCACAGGCCUCUCCUGCAGUGACAGGGGCGGAGCGGUGAAGUCCGCAGACUGUUACCUUCGGUGUUCAUUCUCAGACCCUGAUCCUGUCCCACUGAUCAUCCUGUCCCACCCUCUGGACCUUGUGGUCCCUUUUGAGGCUCCUAGUUAUUUUUCAGGGACGUGAAGGCCACUGUCACUGAAAGUAAUUCUUCACUGAAAAGUGAUUCUUCGCCUGAGCCUGCAGAUAAUGACUAAAACGAGGUUUGUUUGUUUGUUUGUUUGUUUUUGUUUUUCUUUUUAAAAAGCUUGUCACUUCUAUGUUCAUGCUGUACGUCUCUUUUGCUAUCUCAACCGUUGGAUCUGAUUUCUGUUCGACUCAGCACAGAGUCACGCUAGCUGCAUAAGAAAUGCAUCGAAACUUCUUCAGUCAGGUAGUUCCUCCUUCUUAGCUAGAAGACAACAAGGCAAAGACAACCAAAAUAUUUCCCAUGUUCAUAGAAGCAUCACAAUUCUGUGACUAUGUAUGUGCCAAAACCUAGGUUUCACAAUACUCCAUUUCAGACAACUGGCGGGGGGGAGGUGCCUCAGUCUCCAGAUAUUUAUUUCUUCUUAUCUAAGGAUAAAAGACCGUGAAACCUGGACUGAGUAGAAAUGUUCUCCCCCAUCCCCGCAAGGUGCUAGUCUUUUCUCAUUUUGUUGGUAUUACAAAUAAAUCUUUUUUUCUUCUCCCA